rnacentral:rRNA from 1 species
CAAUAGCGUAUAUUAAAGUUGUUGCGGUUAAAAAGCUCGUAGUUGGAUUUCUGCUGAGAACGACCGGUCCGCCCUCUGGGUGUGUAUCUGGCUCUUUCUUGGCAUCUUCUUGGUGAACGUUGCUGCACUUGACUGUGUGGAGCGCUACCCAGGACUUUUACUUUGAGGAAAUUAGAGUGUUUCAAGCAGGCAUACGCCUUGAAUACAUUAGCAUGGAAUAAUAAGAUAGGACCUCGGUUCUAUUUUGUUGGUUUCUAGAGCUGAGGUAAUGAUUAAUAGGGAUAGUUGGGGGCAUUCGUAUUUAACUGUCAGAGGUGAAAUUCUUGGAUUUGUUAAAGACGGCCUACUGCGAAAGCAUUUGCCAAGGAUGUUUUCAUUGA